UUUCCGUAGGUGCACCUGCGGAAGGAUCAUUAUCGAGAUAUGUGUUGGCUUCUGUGGAAGCCGAUGUCUCCGUCCUCCUGUAAAACCCGUACCGCAUGCUUUCGGCGGAAGCGUUGGCUCCCGUGACAGGGAGGCGACCGCCGCCGGUGUUUUUUUUUAGCAAACCCUUUUUUGGAAGAUGAAGUCUGAAAUACCAAAACGAAAACAAUACAAAACUUUCAACAACGGAUCUCUUGGCUCUGGCAUCGAUGAAGAACGCAGC
rnacentral:misc_RNA from 1 species